rnacentral:rRNA from 1 species
GAUGAACGCUGGCGGCGUGCCUAAUACAUGCAAGUCGAGCGAACAGACGAGGAGCUUGCUCCUCUGACGUUAGCGGCGGACGGGUGAGUAACGCGUGGAUAACCUACCUAUAAGACUGGGAUAACUUCGGGAAACCGGAGCUAAUACCGGAUAAUAUAUUGAACCGCAUGGUUCAAUAGUGAAAGACGGUUUUGCUGUCACUUAUAGAUGGUUCCGCGCCGCAUUAGCUAGUUGGUAAGGUAACGGCUUACCAAGGCAACGAUGCGUAGCCGACCUGAGAGGGUGAUCGGCCACACUGGAACUGAGACACGGUCCAGACUCCUACGGGAGGCAGCAGUAGGGAAUCUUCCGCAAUGGGCGAAAGCCUGACGGAGCAACGCCGCGUGAGUGAUGAAGGUCUUCGGAUCGUAAAACUCUGUUAUUAGGGAAGAACAAAUGUGUAAGUAACUAUGCACGGCUUGACGGUACCUAAUCAGAAAGCCACGGCUAACUACGUG